CAACCCUCCCCACAACAUAGGCUCAGUACACCGAAUACCCGCAGAAAACCCCGGAACCAAACCCGUCCUUUCUAUCAGGUAGCUAAGUCUCUGAUGCUCCCCAGACCCUUCAGAUCUAGAUCAAAAUGAAGGUCGAGGCCCACUGGGGAACCAGAGCCCCGCUCCGGAGGAAGGCAGGCUCCUCUCCAACCUGUCGCCAAGGCCUGUCCUCCAGGACGUGGCUGGAGUGCAGCAGCCCGGCUCAACUUCUCCCGCGAGCCCCAGGCUAGGACCCAUUUCCAAGGGGGAAUCCCCGGGAUGUCGUGGAGGGGGGAGCGGACACGGGGCGCGCGCGCCGGACACACUCACACACGCGCACACUCACACCUGGCCGGUGGCUGCACGGCGCGGAGUGGGCUGUAGCUCACCCCCACGCGCAGGCCGCCCCCAACACCUCCACUCAGCCAGCGGUCCUCCCACGGGGCACCCCUCCAGCCCUCCCCCCACUUCGGUCGCGCAUAGCCGGCUCCCUCUAACCAGCUGAUGGAACAAACCUGGCCUAGCAACAUCACCUUUCCUGGACUCCAUUUUAUCAUUGCUGAGUUGUAUAGAGGGAGCAAUGGUCAGAGCCCUUACUGGCCACUGUGCGUGAACCCCAGACCAUUAGCCCUGGGUCUCAAAGGAUGAAAUGACUGCAUUUGAAUUUCACUCACCGGAAAUGAUUCCCCUCUUCUCCCUGCAGUGACCCUGCGUUCUGGCUCACUCCUGGCUUCUUACUGGAUCCCUGCCAGAGGCUACAGUGACUCCUGCCCCAAGACUGCCUUGCUGAUGAGUUUCAUAUGAAACAAAGGGAAGAUGGGGCAGCGCGAGCCGGAAAGGGAAACAGCACAGCCAUGGAGACUCGAACGGCCAGCUCUACAAACUAAGGAAGCAAAUACUUGUCUGCUCACAGGAAGUGGGUCUUCUUUGUGACACAAUGCACAAAGUGAGACCUGGGGAAGUGAGAGAGACCAUUGCAGUCAACUUCAGGAAGGAGAAUGCUCCCCACAGGUGCAGUUCUCGGGCUGCUCUCCUCUGUGUAACAACGUGCAGCCCCAGGUGUGAUUUGUCACAAUAUAUCCAACUCUUUUCUUGUGACUUAGCCAGGCCUCGGGCGGGCAGCAAGCUGCAGUUAGAGUGCAGGUUUUGAUAAUGGGACAGGUGGGCUAACAUCUCACACUAAUGAGAUCCAGGAUGAGCUUUCCCUCUGUUCUCUGUUUUUGUGGAUUUUCAAGCAAUGUUCAGAAGGAUCUGUAAACUUGCUUCAGGGACACAACAGAGGGCUGACUCUCCACUGGAGAGUUUAAUAUGGUACAGAAAGAGGUUUAUAUCCUGCUCAUCCUCCUCCUUUUGUAGGAAGUGGGGGGCUCCUUUGGUGAGCCAGAGUAAAGACAAAGAUACUUUGCUAGUGGAAGAAUGGGACUUCCCUGAGCUUUGAUCCCUGCAUCCCACAUGCCAUGCAGUGCAGCAAAAAAAAAAAAAAAAAAAAAAAAAGUGUUAAAAAAAAGAAUGAGGUCAUAUCAAUGAGAGUCAUAUGCUUCUGUGAUUUCUGUGAUGGGAUCAUUGAGAUAUUAUUUUGAGGUUUGUACUUGCUAUAUUUUAAUGAAAACUUUACACUCCUUCAAAAAUGAUUUAUAUUACAGACAACCUCUCUUUCUAGCUUUUGUUUUUCAAAAGCCUGAGUUUCUUCUGAGUUUAUGAAAGGUGGGCAGGAAAAGAAGGCAGAAGUAGGGUGACAGAGGAGGGAGAAUCCCCAAGGCUGAGAAGGUGAUGGGCCCACAGGCCCUAAAGAUUAUGUUGAUCCCUGGCCCACUCUCCGGAAAAGUAGCAGGAUUUCCAGAAGGAAAUACUGAACAGGGCACCUAGGAGGUAGAGCCUAAGCAUGGCGUUCCCAGCCUCCAUAAAGAUCCAAGUACAGAGCAACAGUUCUGACUAAAUUCACUGGGUAACAGGGGCCUUGAAAGGGGACUAGCAUGAGCUAAAUAUCUGAGGGUCUUUGGGGAUCUUUGCACUGCCCUAGAGGUUUUAAGCUCCCUAGUAAUGACUGAACUCAAAUUUUCUGCUAGCCCAGGGGACCAGAGACUUAAAAUCAGAUAUAAAUAAAGCAAGUUAAUGCGACAUUUCUCAGGUCCCUGGAUAAUGGAAUAAGAUUCCUGCCUGCUCCAUUAGCAGGAGAAAAACUUGUCCUAUGAUUUAAAAGUGUCUGAAAGACCCCAGAACCCUUCCACAAAGGGGCUAACAUAGCAGCUAGUAAGGAGGUGUCCCCAGUUCCUGGAAGAACCUGAUCAGCCACUUCAAAUCCAUCGCCAAUGCUUGAAAAAUAGCACUCACCUUCCUGGGGGGCAGCUGCUGGUCUGCUAGAAGG